GUGAAUAUUCCAAAUGGUUUGUAUGUAAUGGGCCAACGAAUCUGACGGUGAAGCCGCCAAACAGGAAUUGAGCAGCAACAACAGCAUCCAAACAUCCCAGAAGACUUCAUUACUUGAGGUACCAGUAAAGAGCCUGCACCUUUUGAUUGAAGCAGGUGUGGCAGAUCAUAAAAGACCAAGAAUUUGCUAAGGUACUGUGACACGAUACCAUUCAGUGCUUUAUAACUCAAUAGUAGCAUUUUAUAAUCAAUGCAAAAUCUUACUGGGUCUAGUGAGGAUCUGGCUCUGCCUGCUCCAUUCUGGACUAACUGGAGCUUGGUUAUGCACCUACUGGAACAACCAAAUAGGCAGGUGUGACAGUAUGAAUGAGGUAAGUGGUGGUGAUUGACACUUGUGACCACCAAUUAGUGACGAGUGCUUCCUAUUUUAGAGCGGGUUGGUUGCAGCCUGUGAUGCGUCACGUACGGAUCCUCCCCAUUCUGUUUAUUGACGAUAGUUUCAGGUAUGUGCUGUUAGCACAUAGCAGCUCGCUGACCCUUCCAAUUACUGUUCAUGUGGCAUUAAUGAUUCGUUUGUUGCAUCCUAGCUUGUCUUUUCAUCUGUGCGUGUCUCCUUCGGUUGCUUCAAAUAGUGGAGUUGAUGACUGCCCUCCUUUCAGUUUAGCAGCGGGUUAUAUGAAGGCUGUGUAUCCUGGCCUGUGAACGGAUCAUAAAGCACAUUUGUCCUCGUUGGUAAGUGUCUUGCAUGUGGUUACGAGUGGGGUAUUUUAGUGGGUGAUCAUGUAAUUAGUAACACUGUUUUGUUAUUCGUAUUUGCCGCAGGAUUCUCCCUUUCGUUCUUGGCGAUUAUUGUUGCCGCACUGUCGUUUUUGCUACCGCGCUGCAAGAACGCUGUUACCUCGCAACUAAUAAAAGGGGAUUGCUGCUGCUGUCUGGUUUCUUCUUUUUUUAUUUUUGGUUUAUUUAAUUUCUUUGUUUUAUCUUGGGGUGGAGGAUCGUCUAUUUGAUUAUUGGAGCUGGCGUACAGACUACGCGGCCGCUCCUUACGAGUCCUGUUUUCCUCGUAGUUUGAAUUGAGUUUGUUUUUCUUCUUUUUUUUUGAAUAUUUGUAUAUUGUAAUUUCAUUUCUGUUAUAAGAUUUAUCUAUUUUGUUUUUGAUUUUCUUUCAGGAGCUGGGGUUCCACGGGUGGUGGUGGCUGCGUCAACGUUUGCCGUGUGACACUUUUGAAGUGUUUGGGUGUGUGAUCUGAGUGCACGGUGGGGUGUGUGGAAGUGUGUUUUUGGAUAAAUAGGGCUGGUGAUCACUCCUGUGGGUAACCUCAGUCCUGUAGGUUGGUCUGUCUUUGUUUAUUGGACUGUUAUUUGAGAGUGAACUGCUAGGAGUGGCACUUUAUCAUUGUGAUUAUUUUAAGCAAUUUUUCUAUCUUGUUGAAUUCAUUGUGAAUAAAUUUUGUAUUUUUAUACGA